UGAUUUAUGACCUCUACUCCAGCAAGCUACCAGGGGGCGAUCGAGAUGUUUGGGAUUCACAUAUACAGACUAU